UGGGGAAUAUUGGACAAUGGGCGCAAGCCUGAUCCAGCCAUACCGCGUGGGUGAAGAAGGCCUUCGGGUUGUAAAGCCCUUUUGUUGGGAAAGAAAAGCAUUCGGUUAAUACCCGAUUGUUCUGACGGUACCCAAAGAAUAAGCACCGGCUAACUUCGUGCCAGCAGCCGCGGUAAUACGAAGGGUGCAAGCGUUACUCGGAAUUACUGGGCGUAAAGCGUGCGUAGGUGGUUGUUUAAGUCUGUCGUGAAAGCCCUGGGCUCAACCUGGGAAUUGCGAUGGAAACUGGGCGACUAGAGUGUGGCAGAGGGUAGUGGAAUUCCUGGUGUAGCAGUGAAAUGCGUAGAGAUCAGGAGGAACAUCCGUGGCGAAGGCGACUGCCUGGGCCAACACUGACACUGAGGCACGAAAAGCGUGGGGAGCAAAACAGGAUUAGAUACCCUGGUAGUCCACGCCCUAAAACGAUGCGAACUGGAUGUUGGGUGCAAUUUGGCACGCAGUAUCGAAGCUAACGCGUUAAGUUCGCCGCCUGGGGAGUACGGUCGCAAGACUG
rnacentral:rRNA from 1 species